CCUUCCCUUUAGGCACCACUGAACCCCACAGCCCUUCCACCCCCAUGCUCUGUGAGGUGAGAAGUGAGGAGGUGCCUCCACUCAGCAGGUCAAGGCCAGAAUAUUUUGACACUGUGGCGAGAAGAGGGAUUAAUAAUCUCAGUUUAUAGUGGAAAGAGGAGAAGAAAGUCUGGUGCCUUGGCAGGACUUUUCUGGAAGCUCACACCUUUCUGGAAGUG
rnacentral:lncRNA from 1 species